GGCCGCCACGUGGCCGGCGCCGGGUGGAGCGAGGCGCAUCCACGCGCGCGGGAGAGAGGGGGAGGGGGAGCAGGCCGGGCCGCUCGCUGGGCCGAAAGGGGAGCGGGGUUGGCCCAGCAGCGCCUGCCCCUUUUCCUUUUUUUUUAUUUCUUUUCUCCAAAUUCUUUCUAAAUUCAUUUGGACCAAUUUAAAAUCAUUUUCACCUCUUGCUCCCAAAAACAAAGUUGUUCUAAAACAAAAACCCUACAACUUUGUUUUAAUAGGCAAGACCAAAUUCCCAAUAGAAUUUGAAUUACAAAUUAAAACUAGUUCUAGGUUUUCAAAUA
rnacentral:lncRNA from 1 species